UGAUGUUGUUAGAAGCUGCAGAUGCCGAAGCUAAAAAGAUGUCUCGGCAGCGUAUGCUUCUACAAAGAUUAAAGAAUCGCGAACGGUUACUCCAAAAAAUUCCGGAGUGGCAGUUUAGAGCUCAUUACAGGCUGAAUAAGGAAGAGUUCCACUCGUUGUGUGACGAGCUCAGGCACAAUACCAGUUUAAAAGGUUCUAAAACAACUUCACUGGAACUUAAGGUGCUGACAGCAUUGAGCUUUUAUGCCAUGGGUUCAUAUCAGAAAGGUGUUGCUAAUGAGGUACAUAUGAAUCAAAAAAGUGAAGUCGGUGUAUCAGAGAGGUGACAAAAGGUCUGAAUGUGAUUUCAAAUAAAUGGAUACAAUUCCCACAAACAAGCACACAAAGAUCUAAAAUUAAGCAAGGAUUUUAUACUAAGUUUAAUUUUCCUGGUGUAAUUGGUGCCAUUGAUUGCACCCAUGUGGCCAUAGUUCGUCCAGCUGCAGAUGUACCUUGUUUUUAUAACAGAAAAGGC